rnacentral:rRNA from 1 species
GGUUAAGCGACUAAGCGUACACGGUGGAUGCCCUGGCAGUCAGAGGCGAUGAAGGACGUGCUAAUCUGCGAAAAGCGUCGGUAAGGUGAUAUGAACCGUUACAGCCGGCGAUGUCCGAAUGGGGAAACCCAGUGCAAUUCGUUGCACUAUCGUUAACUGAAUACAUAGGUUAACGAGGCGAACCGGGGGAACUGAAACAUCUAAGUACCCCGAGGAAAAGAAAUCAACCGAGAUUCCCCCAGUAGCGGCGAGCGAACGGGGAGCAGCCCAGAGUCUGAAUCAGCUUGUGUGUUAGUGGAACGGUCUGGAAAGUCCGACGGUACAGGGUGAUAGUCCCGUACACCAAAAUGCACAGGCUGUGAACUCGAAGAGUAGGGCGGGACACGUGGUAUCCUGUCUGAAUAUGGGGGGACCAUCCUCCAAGGCUAAAUACUCCUGACUGACCGAUAGUGAACCAGUACCGUGAGGGAAAGGCGAAAAGAACCCCGGCGAGGGGAGUGAAAAAGAACCUGAAACCGUGUACGUACAAGCAGUGGGAGCACCUUCGGGUGUGACUGCGUACCUUUUGUAUAAUGGGUCAGCGACUUAUAUUCUGUAGCAAGGUUAACCGUAUAGGGGAGCCGCAGGGAAACCGAGUCUUAACUGGGCGUUAAGUUGCAGGGUAUAGACCCGAAACCCGGUGAUCUAGCCAUGGGCAGGUUGAAGGUUGGGUAACACUAACUGGAGGACCGAACCGACUAAUGUUGAAAAAUUAGCGGAUGACUUGUGGCUGGGGGUGAAAGGCCAAUCAAACCGGGAGAUAGCUGGUUCUCCCCGAAAGCUAUUUAGGUAGCGCCUCGUGAACUCAUCUUCGGGGGUAGAGCACUGUUUCGGCUAGGGGGUCAUCCCGACUUACCAACCCGAUGCAAACUACGAAUACCGAAGAAUGUUAUCACGGGAGACACACGGCGGGUGCUAACGUCCGUCGUGAAGAGGGAAACAACCCAGACCGCCAGCUAAGGUCCCAAAGUCAUGGUUAAGUGGGAAACGAUGUGGGAAGGCACAGACAGCCAGGAUGUUGGCUUAGAAGCAGCCAUCAUUUAAAGAAAGCGUAAUAGCUCACUGGUCGAGUCGGCCUGCGCGGAAGAUGUAACGGGGCUAAACCAUGCACCGAAGCUGCGGCAGCGACACUAUGUGUUGUUGGGUAGGGGAGCGUUCUGUAAGCCUGCGAAGGUGUGCUGUGAGGCAUGCUGGAGGUAUCAGAAGUGCGAAUGCUGACAUAAGUAACGAUAAAGCGGGUGAAAAGCCCGCUCGCCGGAAGACCAAGGGUUCCUGUCCAACGUUAAUCGGGGCAGGGUGAGUCGACCCCUAAGGCGAGGCCGAAAGGCGUAGUCGAUGGGAAACAGGUUAAUAUUCCUGUACUUGGUGUUACUGCGAAGGGGGGACGGAGAAGGCUAUGUUAGCCGGGCGACGGUUGUCCCGGUUUAAGCAUGUAGGCUGAUUGUCCAGGCAAAUCCGGAUAAUCAAGGCUGAGGUGUGAUGACGAGGCACUACGGUGCUGAAGUAACAAAUGCCCUGCUUCCAGGAAAAGCCUCUAAGCAUCAGGUAACAUCAAAUCGUACCCCAAACCGACACAGGUGGUCAGGUAGAGAAUACCAAGGCGCUUGAGAGAACUCGGGUGAAGGAACUAGGCAAAAUGGUGCCGUAACUUCGGGAGAAGGCACGCUGGUGUGUAGGUGAAGUCCCUGCGGAUGGAGCUGAGACCAGUCGAAGAUACCAGCUGGCUGCAACUGUUUAUUAAAAACACAGCACUGUGCAAACACGAAAGUGGACGUAUACGGUGUGACGCCUGCCCGGUGCCGGAAGGUUAAUUGAUGGGGUUAUCCGUAAGGAGAAGCUCUUGAUCGAAGCCCCGGUAAACGGCGGCCGUAACUAUAACGGUCCUAAGGUAGCGAAAUUCCUUGUCGGGUAAGUUCCGACCUGCACGAAUGGCGUAAUGAUGGCCAGGCUGUCUCCACCCGAGACUCAGUGAAAUUGAACUCGCUGUGAAGAUGCAGUGUACCCGCGGCAAGACGGAAAGACCCCGUGAACCUUUACUAUAGCUUGACACUGAACAUUGAGCCUUGAUGUGUAGGAUAGGUGGGAGGCUUUGAAGCGUGGACGCCAGUCUGCGUGGAGCCAACCUUGAAAUACCACCCUUUAAUGUUUGAUGUUCUAACGUUGGCCCCUGACCGGGGUUGCGGACAGUGUCUGGUGGGUAGUUUGACUGGGGCGGUCUCCUCCCAAAGCGUAACGGAGGAGCACGAAGGUUAGCUAAUCCUGGUCGGACAUCAGGAGGUUAGUGCAAUGGCAUAAGCUAGCUUGACUGCGAGCGUGACGGCGCGAGCAGGUGCGAAAGCAGGUCAUAGUGAUCCGGUGGUUCUGAAUGGAAGGGCCAUCGCUCAACGGAUAAAAGGUACUCCGGGGAUAACAGGCUGAUACCGCCCAAGAGUUCAUAUCGACGGCGGUGUUUGGCACCUCGAUGUCGGCUCAUCACAUCCUGGGGCUGAAGUAGGUCCCAAGGGUAUGGCUGUUCGCCAUUUAAAGUGGUACGCGAGCUGGGUUUAGAACGUCGUGAGACAGUUCGGUCCCUAUCUGCCGUGGGCGCUGGAGAAUUGAGGGGGGCUGCUCCUAGUACGAGAGGACCGGAGUGGACGCAUCACUGGUGUUCGGGUUGUCAUGCCAAUGGCACUGCCCGGUAGCUAAAUGCGGAAGAGAUAAGUGCUGAAAGCAUCUAAGCACGAAACUUGCCCCGAGAUGAGUUCUCCCUGAGACUAUAAGUCUCCUGAAGGAACGUUGAAGACGACGACGUUGAUAGGCCGGGUGUGUAAGCGCAGCGAUGCGUUGAGCUAACCGGUACUAAUGAACCGUGAGGCUUAACCUU